UGCGAGUCAGGUAUCGUAAGAUGCCGGCAAACUGCUCAGUAACACGUGGAUAAUCUAACCUUGAGUAAGGGAUAACCUCGGGAAACUGAGGAUAAUACCUUAUAAUUGCUUAAAACUGGAAUGUUUAAGCAAUAAAAGUUCCGACGCUCAAGGAUGAGUCUGCGACCUAUCAGGUAGUAGGUGGUGUAAUGGACCACCUAGCCUCAGACGGGUACGGGCCCUGGGAGGGGUAGCCCGGAGAUGGACUCUGAGACAUCAGUCCAGGCCCUACGGGGCGCAGCAGGCGCGAACACUGUGCAAUGCGCGAAAGCGCGACACGGGGAGCUUGAGUGUCUUGGCAUAGCCAAGACUUUUCUCAUUCCUAAAAAGCAUGAGGAAUAAGUGCUGGGUAAGACGGGUGCCAGCCGCCGCGGUAACACCCGCAGCACGAGUAGUGGUCACUUUUAUUGAGCCUAAAGCGUUCGUAGCCGGUUUUGUAAAUCUUCAGAUAAAGCCUGAAGCUUAACUCCAGAAAGUCUGAAGAGACUG
rnacentral:rRNA from 1 species